rnacentral:tRNA from 1 species
GCCUGGAUGGCUCAGUGGUUGAGCACCUGCCUUUGGCUCAGGGUGUGAUUUUGGAUUGUAGGAUCAAGUCCUACCUCGGGCU